AUUGAACGCUGGCGGCAGGCCUAACACAUGCAAGUCGAGCGAGCGGCGGACGGGUGAGUAAUGUAUGGGGACUGCCCGAUAGAGGGGGAUAACUACUGGAAACGGUGGCUAAUACCGCAUACUAGCGGAUAACCCAUAUGAGAUUAGCUAGUAGGUGGGUUAAAGGCUCACCUAGGCGACGAUCUCUAGCUGGUCUUAGAGGAUGAUCAGCAACACUGGGAAUGAGACACGGCCCAGACGCCUACGGAGGCAGCAGUGGGGAAGAUGGCACAAUGGGCGAAAGCAUGAUGCAGCCAUGCAGCGUGUAUGAAGAAGGACUUAGGGGUGUAAAGUACUUUCAGCGGGGAGGCGUUACCCGCAGAAGAAGCACCGGCUAACUCCGUGCCAGCCGCCGCGGUAAUAC
rnacentral:rRNA from 1 species